GCCGAAAGGGAAAGAUUUAUUGCCUGAAGAUGAGCUCGCGUCUGAUUAGCUAGUUGGUGUGGUAAGAGCGCACCAAGGCGACGAUCAGUAGCUGGUCUGAGAGGAUGAUCAGCCACACUGGGACUGAGACACGGCCCAGACUCCUACGGGAGGCAGCAGUGGGGAAUUUUCCGCAAUGGGCGAAAGCCUGACGGAGCAAUACCGCGUGAGGGAGGAAGGCUCUUGGGUUGUAAACCUCUUUUCUCAGGGAAUAAGUUCUGAAGGUACCUGAGGAAUAAGCAUCGGCUAACUCCGUGCCAGCAGCCGCGGUAAUACGGAGGAUGCAAGCGUUAUCCGGAAUGAUUGGGCGUAAAGCGUCCGCAGGUGGCACUGUAAGUCUGCUGUUAAAGAGCAAGGCUCAACCUUGUAAAGGCAGUGGAAACUACAGAGCUAGAGUACGUUCGGGGCAGAGGGAAUUCCUGGUGUAGCGGUGAAAUGCGUAGAGAUCAGGAAGAACACCGGUGGCGAAAGCGCUCUGCUAGGCCGUAACUGACACUGAGGGACGAAAGCUAGGGGAGCGAAUGGGAUUAGAUACACCA
rnacentral:rRNA from 1 species